UACAGAGACUGCAAGCGUUAUUCGGAUUCACUGGGCGUAAAGAGCGCGCAGGCGGUCGAGUAAGUCGCGUGUGAAAGCCCCCGGCUCAACUGGGGAGGGUCACGCGAUACUGUUCGACUCGAAGGCAGGAGAGGGUAGUGGAAUUCCCGGUGUAGUGGUGAAAUGCGUAGAUAUCGGGAGGAACACCAGUGGCGAAGGCGACUACCUGGCCUGUUCUUGACGCUGAGGCGCGAAAGCUAGGGGAGCAAACGGG
rnacentral:rRNA from 1 species